rnacentral:lncRNA from 1 species
GCAAUGCCCAGGAGAUGGAGGCUUUUAUUCUUAGAAAUUAUUUCAAUUUCCAAGAACUUUCAAGGCUUUAAUCCUAGGACACAUCAUAUUUGUUAUUUGGUCCCUGCUGCAAAUCUUAUCUAUUUCCUUGGGCAUGGCUAUUUGCCAGACUUCUAAAAAUUCUUGCCUCCAGCUUUUUUUUCCCUCCAGGCCAUCCUGUUAUCUCCAUGUUAUCUGCCAGCUCAAACAUAUUCCAUGAUUCCCUAUUGACCAUCAAAAGCCUACUUACUAUAUGAACUUCCAGUUUGAUCACCUCAGUUCUCCAU